UGAAUCUUCGGAUUCAUCGUGCGCUUGCCCCAGCGGACUUGAGGGAAACACUCAGGCAACUGAUUGUCUCGCUCCGUUACUUUGAGCAAAUUGGAGUGCUCCAACCAGGUUUACGCUUGAACAGCUCAGCAUGGAAUAACAAGAUAGGACUUCGUUUCUUCUUGUUGGUAUCAUGAAACGAAAGUAAUGGUUGAUAAGGACAUACGGGGGCAUUUGUACUUGCUGGAGAGAGGUGAAAUUCUAAGACCCAGCAAAGACAAACAACUGCGAAAGCAUUUGCCCAGUGUGCACCUGUUAAUCAAGGACGAAAGUUGGGGGAUCGAAGACGAUUAGAUACCGUCGUAGUCCCAACUAUAAACUAUGCCGACUGAGGAUCGGAGGUCGUACCUAUACGACUCCUUCGGCACUCCAAGAGAAAUCUAAGUCUCUGGGCCCUGGGGGGAGUAUGGUCGCAAGGCUGAAACUUAAAGGAAUUGACGGAAGGGCACCACCAGGAGUGGAGCCUGCGGCUUAAUUUGAGUCAACGCGGGGAACCUCACCAGGCCCGGACAUAGUCAUGAUUGACAGAUUGAGAGUUCUUUCUCGAUUCUAUGGGUGGUGGUGCAUGGCCGUUCUUAGUCGGUGAGGUGACUUGUCUGGUUAAUUCCGAUAAUGGACGAGACCUCGACCUGCUAACUAGCGAACAUUUACAUUCAGUAAGUGUUUAGCUUCUUAGAGGGGCUUUGU
rnacentral:rRNA from 1 species